rnacentral:misc_RNA from 1 species
AAAGUCGUAACAAGGUAACCGUAGGUGAACCUGCGGUUGGAUCAUUAAAAAUUCUCGCGGUGGGAAGCUCGCCAAUAUUGCGCAUGGGCUUCCCAUUUAGCUCUACACCUUUGUGAACCAUCAAACUGUAUUUUGGCGGCCCUCCAAACUCUCCUCCUGGCAGACCGUGGUCUGUUGGGACCAAAGGAGAUGGGCCGCCUGCCUUGGCAACACCCGUUUCUUUGUUUACACUUCUGAAAUUUUUUGAUGCAAAUCUAAAACAACUUUUGACAACGGAUCUCUUGGCUCUC